GGACCAUUGGGCCGGUGAGGGAGAUCUUUGAUCUCCCCACCCGCCCGAGAGAGCCCAAACCAAGCGAGCAAGGCCGGCUCUCUGUGGACUGGCAGGGGAGAUCAAAGGAUCUCCCAAGUCGGCCCGGUACAUUGGCAACACUGUAAGGCCCCCAUGCUUGUGGGGCCCCCGGGCAACUGGCCAGCGUGCCCAUGUGGAACGAUGACCCUGCGUGUAUGCACCUGCAUAGCAAAUUCACCAUAAUAAACC